UGUUUCACUUCGAGGGUUCGGUUUAUUUAGCCUCACUAUGCAUGGGGCACACGAACUUGUGUUUGGUAACACCUGGAGCUUGUGGACGUGCUCCUUUAGGAUGCCUCCAGCCUUUCCCUCCGAGUGGCCCUCAGGGGGUGCUGCUGUGCUCUGAGGCUCUCUUGCCCCAGGGUCUCCCUCCGUGGGUGUCUUUGGUCCCCUGAUCCUCGGGGGUCACUCUGCAGCCUCCUCAUCCCGACUGCCUGGACCGCUGCGGCUCCCCCGCCCUUCUGCAGACCGGGAACCCGGCCUCCAUGAUGCGAGGAAGCUCAGGCCACACGGGGUGGCCACGUGUCUGGGCUGGCAGCCCAUCCUGAGCUCCCAGCCGACAGCAGGCAUCAGCUACCAGACAUGCAGCACAUCACAGCCGCAGAACUUGAACCCUUGAUUGACCCUGCCGUGCAUGGCUGACACACAGAGUGGAUCUUCAACACAACCUGUAAGUAACAGGCAGGCUCUCCUCUCUCGAGAAACAACUGGU